rnacentral:rRNA from 1 species
AGUGAACGCUGGCGGUAGGCCUAACACAUGCAAGUCGAACGGCAGCACAGGAGAGCUUGCUCUCUGGGUGGCGAGUGGCGGACGGGUGAGGAAUACAUCGGAAUCUACUCUGUCGUGGGGGAUAACGUAGUGAAACUUACGCUAAUACCGCAUACGACCUACGGGUGAAAGCAGGGGACCUUCGGGCCUUGCGCGAUUGAAUGAGCCGAUGUCGGAUUAGCUAGUUGGCGGGGUAAAGGCCCACCCAGGCGACGAUCCGUAUCUGGUCAGAGUGGAUGAUCAGCCACACUGGAACUGAGACACGGUCCAGACUCCGACGGGAGUCAGCCGUGGGGCAUAUUGGACAAGGCGCGCAAGCCUGAUCCAGCAAUACGGCGUGGGGGAAGAAGGGCUUCGGGUUGUAAAGCCCUUUUGGUGGGAAAGAAAUCCGGCUGGCUAAUACCCGGUUGGGAUGACGGUACCCAAAGAAUAAGCACCGGCUAACUUCGUGCCAUCCGCCGCAGUAA